GAAAAUACCAAUGAACAACAUCAACAAACGAUAACUGCUGAACGACAGGCCCCUGAAUCAAUCAGGACAGGUGCAUAAACAUGCAGCGGCUAUGGAUAGUUUUGUUUCGCCAGCAUACAAUAUAAUUGCAGUUGAAGGCAAAUCCUUCAGAAGUUCUUUGUACUUUAUUCUAAAAACGAACAUUUUUUAAUAGGGAAUAUAAGUAAGGGGGAAAGUAACCAAUUUUUUGUUCUUUUUAUAAUAUUUACAAAAAAACGGUGCGGGAAAUCGACAUGAUUAAAUUUCCGGAUGCGGGAAGCGGGAAUAUAAAAAAAAAAAAAUAAAAAAAUUCUGUUUUGAAAAAAAUAGGUGCGGGCGGGUCCGUCGAACAAGGAAUCAAAUUGGUGUGGCCCAAUGACCAAAAUUUACAGAUAUAAAUUUUUACAAUGGUCAGACAUUAAAGGAGUAUUUACAGGUAGGAAGAAACUUUUUUUACAAAUCAUGUCAUUUUACUUUUCUAACAAAC
rnacentral:lncRNA from 1 species